rnacentral:SRP_RNA from 8 species
GCCGGGCGCGGUGGCGCGUGCCUGUAGUCCCAGCUACUAGGGAGGCUGAGGCUGGAGGAUCGCUUGAGUCCAGGAGUUCUGGGCUGUAGUGCGCUAUGCCGAUCGGGUGUCCGCACUAAGUUCGGCAUCAAUAUGGUGACCUCCCGGGAGCGGGGGACCACCAGGUUGCCUAAGGAGGGGUGAACCGGCCCAGGUCGGAAACGGAGCAGGUCAAAACUCCCGUGCUGAUCAGUAGUGGGAUCGCGCCUGUGAAUAGCCACUGCACUCCAGCCUGGGCAACAUAGCGAGACCCUGUCUCUUU